rnacentral:rRNA from 1 species
AUAGGAUAAUGCAGAUAAGGGAAUUCGGCAAAUUAGAUCCGUAACUUCGGGAAAAGGAUUGGCUCUGAGGAUUGGAUUCAAGGGCCCAUUCAUGAAAGCUUAGCUGUCUUGGAACUGCGGAGGCAACGAAGUGGCUCCAGGAUAGCGAACGCUGGAAUGGGUGGGACGUCUUCAUCGGCUUUCCUUGAAUAAUUAACAAUUAACUCAGAACUGAAGCGGACAAGGGGAAUCCGACUGUUUAAUAAAAACAUAGCAUUGUGAUGGCCUGAAAAGGUGUUGACACAAUGUGAAUUCUGCCCAGUGCUUUGAAUGUCAAAGUGAAGAAAUUCAACCAAGCGCAGGUAAACGGCGGGAGUAACUAUGACUCUCUUAAGGUAGCCAAAAUGCCUCGUCAUCUAAUUAGUGACGCGCAUGAAUGGAUCAAUGAGAUUCCCACUGUCCCUAUCUGCUACCUAGCGAACACACAGCCAAGGGAACAGGCUUGGAAUAAUCAGCG